CAGAGAGAAGCAAUACCGCGAGGUGGAGGCAAAACUUCAAAAAUAGGUCUCAGUUCGGACUGUAGGCUGCAACUCGCCUACACGAAGUUGGAAUUGCUAGUAAUCGUGGAUCAGCAUGCCACGGUGAAUACGUUCCCGGGUCUUGUACACACCGCCCGUCACACCAUGGGAGCUGGUAACACCCGAAGUCAGUAGUCUAACCGCAAGGAGGACGCUGCCGAAGGUGGGAUUAGCGACUGGGGUGAAGUCGUAACAAGGUAAC
rnacentral:rRNA from 1 species